UCCGCUAUUUAUGUUGGUGUGAUAUGACUUUAUUUUAUAUUUUUUCCUUUAACAUCUUGAAGUUUUCGAAAGUGCAGCAUGUUACUGCCCAACUUGCUUUGUUUUACUCGUGUUUGUGUCUCCAUUUCGCAUAGAACUCUAGUCAAAGAAAUGCCUAAUUUCACUGUUUAAGCGGAAGCUCCUUAGCAUGCUUCUUUUGACCUUGUCUUAUUUCGAUCUUUUGUGAAGUUCGGUAUUGGUGUUUGCUCGAAUAUAUAGUCAAUCUUGCUUUAACUUAAAUUCGUUACCAUGAUUAGCCGAAUGGGUCACUUUUAAAUUUACAUGCUAUAACCUUGUUUUAAAAUUUCGGU
rnacentral:lncRNA from 1 species